GCUGGGCGUGGUGGUGCAUGCCUGCAGUCCCAGCUACUCAGGAGGCUGAGGCAGGAGAAUCGCUUGAACCAGGGAGGUGAAGGUUGCAGUGAGCCGAGAUCAUGCCAUUGCACUCCAGCCUGGUGACAGAGCGAGACUCCAUCUCAAAAUAUAUAUAUAAUUUGAGACGGUGUCUCGCUCUGUCACCCAGGCUGGAGUGCAGUGAUCAUGAUCAUAGCUCACUGCAGCCUUAAAUUCCUGGACUCAAGCGAUCCUCCUGCCUCAA
rnacentral:SRP_RNA from 1 species